UGGGGACUACACAUAGGUUUAUAUUUUGGAGAUAGGGUUAAGAUCAGGUUAAGGUCAAAGGUUAUGCUUAGAUCUAGUUCAUUCUCACCAGUGGGAAUUACACAUAGUAGUGUAGUAUUGUACUAGUAUUUUGUAAGUGUGUAUUGUAGUAGUAUAUUGUAAGUGUGUAUUGUGUUAGUAUAUUUAGUAGUGUAGUUUUGUGUUAAUAUAUUUAGAAGUGUAGUAUUGUGUAAGUAUAUUUAGUAGUGUAGUAUUGUUAGUAUAUUUAGGAGUGUAGUAUUGUGUUAGUAUAUUUAGUAGUGUAGUAUUGUGUUAGUAUAUUUAGUAGUGUAGUAUAUUUAGUAGUGUAGUAUUGUGUAAGUAUAUUGUAAGUGUGUAUUGUAGUAGUAUAUUUAGGAGUGUAGUAUUGUGUUAGUAUAUUUAGUAGUGUAGUAUAUUUAGUAGUGUAGUAUUGUGUAAGUAUAUUGUAAGUGUGUAUUGUAGUAGUAUAUUUAGGAGUGUAGUAUUGUGUUAGUAUAUUUAGUAGUGUAGUAUUGUGUUAGUAUAUUUAGUAGUGUAGUAUUGUGUUAGUAUAUUGUAAGUUGUGUAUUGUGUUAGUAUAUUUAGUAGUGUAGUAUUUUAGUAGUAUAUUUAGAAGUGUAGUAUUGUGUUAAUAUAUUUAGUAAUGUAGUAUAUUGUAAGUGUAGUAUUGUGUUAGUAUAUUUAGUAGUGUAGUAUUGUGUAAGUAUUGUGUAAGUAUAUUUAGUAGUGUAGUAUAUAAGUAUGCAAGGCAUCGCCUCCAUUGGCCCGUUCUCCUGACCUCCAUCCUCCCUCUAUUCUCUCUUCUUUCUCUUCUCUCUUUUUUAAGAUUUCUUUCACUCUUUUGUUCCUCCUCUUCUCUCGAGGGUGCAGGCAG
ensembl:lncRNA